rnacentral:rRNA from 1 species
CCUACGGGAGGCUGCAGUGGGGAAUCUUGCGCAAUGGGCGAAAGCCUGACGCAGCAACGCCGCGUGCGGGAUGAAGGCCUUCGGGUUGUAAACCGCUUUCAGCAGGGACGCGGUACCUGCAGAAGAAGCCCCGGCCAACUACGUGCCAGCAGCCGCGGUAAUACGUAGGGGGCGAGCGUUGUCCGGAUUUAUUGGGCGUAAAGAGCUCGUAGGCGGUUGGGUAAGUCGGGUGUGAAAACUCAGGGCUCAACUCUGAGACGCCACUCGAUACUGCCUGACUCGAGUCCGGUAGGGGAGCGUGGAAUUCCCGGUGUAGCGGUGAAAUGCGCAGAUAUCGGGAGGAACACCAGUGGCGAAGGCGGCGCUCUGGGCCGGACUGACGCUGAGGAGCGAAAGCGUGGGUAGCAAACAGGAUUAGAUACCCUUGUAGUC